UUUGACACACAGCACCAGUAAUGCCAGGGGAAACCCAUUUAUUGUAAACUUAGUGUAAGUUGAUCCAGGGGUCGUCUGUUACAAAAUGGAGAUAGAACUAACACUCCAAGGGAGUUAGCUGCGUAACCAGCUGUAAAGGUACAUGGAACAGAAGUGACCUUGAGUUUCAGAUAACGCCUGUGAAUAUACAGCUGCUUAGCUGAGUUUGAAAAAAAAAAAAAAGCUGCAUCUAUCUGGCUUCAGAGAAUUUAGUCUAUUUAGUCUAAGUUUCACACAUUCCCCAACACAAGACAGAAUAAAAUCCCCAGCUUUCCUUUAUACAGAACUCUUAAAUCGGGUUUAUUUUUUUUUUUUGAAUAUAUAUACACAUAGACACACACAUAAUGCCAAAUUUAAAAGGAUUAAAUAUGCCUGAAUACAUCCUACAACAAACAGGAAUUUGUUAUUUUAGGAACCCCAUUUAAAGCUUCCUUUUGUUACAACCAUCACUUGAAAAUAUUC